AUGGCAAGGAGCUCUGUUGUCCCACGUCCUUAUCCUCCAGAGUGCACUCUGGCUGUCGAGUGCCUGACACUUAGGUGGGCUCAGUCAGGGCUACUCUGCCUUCCUCUUCCUGCUAACAACCGGACUGGAGCCGCCUUCACCACAGACGCUGCCCCUCUCCUUGGAGAGUCACCAUCGUUCAGUGUCGCAGAACACCCAUCAGCCCAGGUGACAGCCUGCUCUCUCAAAGCCAGUGCAGUCUCAUCUGAAUGUUGUCCUGCUUCUCCAUCCUUAAACACACUAGCAUUCCUGUUGUCAGACUCCAUGUGCCUGUCUACCGAGCUUUUACAGAGGGUUACAGAGGAAUCCUCAGAGAUGGGUGGGGGUGGGAUGGUCAGUCAGGGACUUCAACAGAGCUGCUUGUCUCUGGCUGCUGUGUAGAGAAAUCUUCCCUCCAAUCUGGAGUCUGUUGUGGGAUGAAAGAUGCUUUUGUGGAGGCGAGAAAACCCGGUUAACUUUUCAUCUCUCUUUGGUGCCAGGACAUCAGUGGCGUGCUCCUGGAAGUCCAGAGAAAUACAGUAAUGCACUCUCCUCCACACAGAGCCCCUUUCACCCCAAGGCACUUGUCAGACUAUGUAUGGGGAUUACCUCACCACCCUCUUUAGGGUGGAAGGCGGCAGCUGUUGACUUCCCAGAUGCUUCACAUAUCCAUCCGAGAGGAAGUGAGGGGGCGUUGAGGGUGCUGGGAUGUAUUAUCUAAGCUGGACCCAGGCCAAUGUGAACUGUGGCACCAAUGACUGCAUGGCCUCUGCCCUCAGCUCUCUAGCUCACCAGGAAGAUGACGACUAAUUAUGAGGUCAAGGGAAGGAGGAAGGAAAGGACAAGCUGCAGGGCCUGGAGGCCUCCUCCAUGGAGCUGGGGCCAGAGUGACCUUAGAUUGAGGAAAUUGGAGCAAGCAGAGUCACGUCACCCGGCUCCUUGGAAGUCACGGUGUGUUUUAGGAGUUGCCUUCCAAACAAGAGUGUUAGUUAAUUGGCAUGAAAUUAAGGGGACAGGUAUGUGACCAUUCCCAACAGGGCCCAUCUUGAGGGAGACCAGAUCCACUAUGUCCCUUAUUUGCCACUGGCCCAUUGACUGCUUCCCCUGUAGCCAGACAGCAAGACCAACUGUGCCAGUCCAGCCCCUUCCUGGGUCAUUUCUCCACGAAGCAAGUAUGCCAGAAAACAACCCCCAAGCUGAUUUCCCUAGCACAUCAGCAGCUUUGGCCAAAAGCCUCAAGUCUCAAGAAUUCAUUGGAAAAGAUCUUGGAGCUCUUGGUGUCCGAGCCCUCUCUUCCUCCAUUUUACUAAUGAGAACACUGUAGUCCAGAGAGACUCGGGCUGGCUCCUCUAAUCGUGGCAGGGGUGGAAUGAGGACCUGGAUCACCUGAUGGGAGUCAUAUGCCAUCCCUGUCCUCCCUUGUGCUGGCAUCUCCCUGCUUCCUGUGUGGCUAUGUCCUCUGUGUAACGGCAUUGACAGGUCAGAUAACGUUUGCCUAGAAGGGUGGGCUAGACUUGGCUACUCAAGAGAGCUUGAGGGCCAGACUCAGGGCUUGCCUGGUUCGUACAUUCGUGGUUGCACAUUAGCUGAACUUUAAGGCCUGAGGCUGAGGGUAAAAAGCUAUGGGGCAAAGGUUUGUGUUUAAUAGAUCACAAAAGUUAACAUAGGCUAAUGGGAAAUUCAGACUGUACAAAGAAUAUAUAGUAAGAUGAAGUCCCUGUUCCCAUCCCUGACUGAAAGUAUUUGAAUGGGCCAAGCCAAGUUUUAACUACUUUACUUGUAUUUGUUUCACUGAAUUAUCACAACAUUGAAACAGGAACUAUUAUUCUCAUUUUACUGAUGAGAAAACUAAGGCAU
ensembl:lncRNA